GAAUGUUUUUAUUUAUGUCGAGAGUUGUCUGUGGGGGUUUUACACCUCAAUUAUUCUACUGGGAAAUAGUGCUUAAAAGGAAACAUUAAAAACACA
rnacentral:misc_RNA from 1 species